UACGUAGGCAGCGAGCGUUGUUCGGAGUUACUGGGCGUAAAGGGUGUGUAGGCGGUUGUUUAAGUUUGGUGUGAAAUCUCCCGGCUCAACUGGGAGGGUGCGCCGAAUACUGAAUGACUAGAGUGCGGGAGAGGAUAGUGGAAUUCCUGGUGUAGCGGUGAAAUGCGUAGAUAUCAGGAGGAACACCAAUAGCGAAGGCAGCUCGCUGGGACGUUACUGACACUGAGGCGCGAAAGCGUGGUGAGCGAACAGG
rnacentral:rRNA from 1 species